AGGGGUCACUCAGGGGUCUCCAGGGGUCACACGGGGUCACCCAGGGGUCACCCGGGGUCACCGGGGUCACACGGGGUCACCAGGGGUCACUCAGGGGUCACCCAGGGGUCUCCAGGGGUCACACGGGGUCACACGGGGUCUCCAGGGGUCACACGGGGUCAGCAGGGGUCUCCAGGGGUCACCAGGGUCACACGGGGUCACACGGGGUCACCCGGGGUCACACGGGGUCAGCAGGGUCACCCGGGGUCAGCAGGGGUCACACGGGGUCACCCAGGGGUCACCAGGGGUCACUCAGGGGUCACACGGGGUCAGCAGGGGUCACCCGGGGUCAGUGGGGUCCCCCAGGGGUCAGCAGAGGUCACCCAGGGGUCACUGAGGGUCACUGAGGGGUCACUCAGGGGUCACUCAGGGGUCACCCAGGGGUCACUCAGGGGUCACCCAGGGGUCACCAGGGUCACACGGGGUCACACGGGGUCACACGGGGUCACCAGGGUCACACGGGGUCACACGGGGUCACCAGGGGUCACAUGGGGUCACUCAGGGGUCACCAGGGGUCACACGGGGUCACCAGGGGUCAGCAG
rnacentral:lncRNA from 1 species